rnacentral:sRNA from 1 species
UCUCAAUCUGUUUAUUGUUGUGAUGAA